ensembl:lncRNA
AUUACUAACCAAUCAGGGAGAGGCAUCUAGAGCGACGUUGGUCUGGCCAAUAGGACUAUUAAGUGUCACUGAUCGACGGCAGCAGGCACCAAUCGAAAACCUACUGAGGAAUGAAAGACGCGUUCGCCAGCCAACUGAGGGAAGGCAAGGUCCCGCCCACGGGGUGGUUGAUGGACAGCAACAGGAAGCUGGGUGAGGAGGGGCUUAGUGAGGAGUGUUUCCGUAUUGGUCGUGGUUGACCUUCCCCCCACCUCUAACCCAGAAGACGAGUGAUAGAUCUGCCCUAAAACCAAUCAGAAGUCUUCAGGAUGAGGCCGCGCAGUGCCCUAUAAAAAGCAUACAGUUUGCACCUUAGAGGUGCAGUCUCUCCCAGGUGAGGUAGGGGUGUCCUCCCGGUCUGCCGCUUCCCUCGACCCCCCCACCUGGGCCAGCUCCCUCCACCACCACUUCACUUCUUCCGUGUCUACCUCUUAAGGCUGGCCUCGAACUCGCCUCGAUCCUCCUGCCUCAGCAUCCUGAGUGCUGGGAUCACAGGCGUGUGCCCCCAUGCCCAGCCACCUGAGCCCUCCAAAGAUGGCUUCUUUGGCUUAAGGAUUUCCCAGGAGCCUCUGCGUCUCCCCUUCACUCCUGCGGUCUGGUCUUUUGUUUGGACGCCUGUUCCCUCUGCCUCCAGGGAAGACUUUCCAAGCCAUCCCUGUCCUCUCCUGCGCAGGCUUGAGAAGGAUCCCAGGGACACAGACCCAGGGUGCAGGCGUCACUUUUGCUUGCCUCCUGGGAUCUCAGUGACCCAGGCUGCCCCAGGCGUCUGAGCCAUGAGAAGUGGCAGAAGCUGGGACCGCGAUCCCCUGCCCCCUGCCUGCCCUGCCCGGCGGGCCGGGCCUGACCGCACCCUGCUCCUUUCCUGUGCCCACUGCUUUGCCCAGGCCAGUGGCCGCCACCAACUGCCACAGAACCUUCUGGCAAGGACGUUCUGCAGGGUUCUCCCUCCUCCUUUUCUGGUUCUGGCCGGGGCUGGGGUCUUCGGGGCCUGGCAAGGAAGGACAGAGACCAGGGGUGGAGCCAUUAGGGCUGAAUCUGGAUCCCGGCCCCCUGCUUUCGCGUGUCACCGCCAGGGGGCGCCCACAGCAUUCCCAGAGCGCGGCCCGGUGUUCAACACCGGGAGACUCUCACGGGUCGGGACUGGGGCCCUGCUGUGCUCUGUCCCUCUCCACCCUCUGCCAACCCAGACGCAGCUCCACAAGGCUGUCCACUCUGCUCCUUGGAGUCAGGCUUCCCACAGUGGCUGGGCGUGGAGGUGCACGCCUGUCAUUCCAGCACUCAGGAAGCUGAGGCAGGAGGAUCACCGAGUUCAAGGCCAGCCUGGACUACUGGAAUCAUACUUAGGGACAAAGGCAGGCUCGGCCCCUCUCCAUGGCUCUCUCUCCCUUCUAGGCCCUGAAUUCUUUCAAAGCCACACCUGGUUGGACACCAGCCCUCGGAGGGUGGCCUCAGCCCCGGAGGGUAAAGCCUGUG